GUGCACUCUGGAAGGUUUGCUUUGCAGAUAACACAACACAGUCAUCAAGAGAUAUAGCCCUGAAUGAUUUUGUCUUCUAAUGUUAACAGUAUGCAGUCGGUGAUGGAGAAGUUGAAGAGUCUACACAUCUUUGAAAUCCAAUGGUGUGCACUCUGGAAGGUUUGCUUUGCAGAUAACACAACACAGUCAUAAAGAGAUAUAGCCCUGAAUGAUUUUGUCUUCUAAUGUUAACAGUAUGCAGUCGGUGAUGGAGAAGUUGAAGAGUCUACACAUCUUUGAAAUCCAAUGGUGUGCACUCUGGAAGGUUUGCUUUGCAGAUAACACAACACAGUCAUCAAGAGAUAUAGCCCUGAAUGAUUUUGUCUUCUAAUGUUAACAGUAUGCAGUCGGUGAUGGAGAAGUUGAAGAGUCUACACAUCUUUGAAAUCCAAUGGUGUGCACUCUGGAAG